AUUGAACGCUGGCGGCAGGCCUAACACAUGCAAGUCGAACGGUAACAGGAAGCAGCUUGCUGCUUCGCUGACGAGUGGCGGACGGGUGAGUAAUGUCUGGGAAGCUGCCUGAUGGAGGGGAUAACUACUGGAAACGGUAGCUAAUACCGCAUAAUGUCGCAAGACCAAAAGAGGGGGACCCUUCGGGCCUCUUGCCAUCGGAUGUGCCCAGAUGGGAUUAGCUUGUUGGUGGGGUAACGGCUCACCAAGGCGACGACCCUACGCUGGUCUUGAGAGGAGUGACCAGCCACACUGGAACUGAGACACGGUCCA
rnacentral:rRNA from 1 species